ACCUAUAUCCCAUUGAAGACAAAGGCACCACUUCAAUGACAGGUGUGAACUGAAACAUCAAGAGUGAAAAUGAAACUGGCCUACAUCCAGCUUAAUUCCUUUCAUCAGUAUUGGGAAACAGUAUUUAUAAUUUUUUAACUCAAUGCCCUGACUCUUUAGCCCCUCUCAUACCUUUUUCCUUAGCUUUCUGGGGUGAAGGGGGCCAGAUAUGGCAUCCAGGAGACUAUGGGUACCUCUGGAGUGUCCAACUCUUUUUACAACAGCUGACAGGCAGUAGAGAUGAUGACAGGAAACAGCAACUCUUUUCUUUGGCACUGUAAACUAAAACUCUUAAUCAGUUUCCUUGGAUUUUACUAGCUCCAGAUUCUGAAGAAAGGUCUCUUUAAGUACCUUUGGAAAUAGCUAGGGAAAUCUCACCAAUUUUCAGCCACCUUGACAAGAAAGACUUUUGUCUCUAUCUCUAGAGAAGACAAUUGAAGCCUAACAAAGACUUAUCCCAACUGUGAUUGGUUAGGAUCACUAUCUGAUUUUUGUCUGAUUCUUUCCACUGUACCACUGUGACCUUGACAACUGCUUUGUCAAAAUACCACACAUACAGGAGAUGUAAGCUGAAUUUGGAGAUGGAGAGAAAAGUUAGAGAAUAGAAAAGACAAUUUUGAUCUUCAGCUUUUAAUUCAUCAAAUUGGAGUGAUGUGUUAACCUGUUACAUCCAGCUAAGCGUUUAGAAAAAAAACCCCAGCAUAUUCUUACUGAAAUAGCAUACAGGGAAGUUUCCUUUCUUAGUAAUUUUGGGAUGUUUGCCACUUUUUAUGCCAGUGAUCAAUACAGACCUUCUACUUUUUCCAAACCCACAUUUAGAUCUGGGCAGGACAAAUUCAAUAAUGGCAUGCUGGAGUUUUUAAUUAUGUGUGAUGCAACAUACAAUUACAAAGUAGUUCUAGGUAUGGCUCUUCUGGCAGCUUCCUUACUGCCCUAGUGUCUCUGACUGCAAAGAGGUUAAUUUUGCCCUGCAAAAUCCAUUGCUCUGUGUUGCUAUUCCUCUCCCUUUUUUGCAGAGGCAUAUAACAAAAAGACAGGAAUAAGUGAUGGCAAGGAAAGCUGAGGAUAUAAUGAGAUGAUAUACAACAUAACCUCCAAACUAUAAAUAGUUUAUUGUAUGACCUAUAGCAAGUCUUUCCCUAAACUCCAUUUUCUCAUUUAUACUCUUGAGUGGGUAAAACAUGAUGACUAAUAAAGGAAUUUUAAUGUAUCCUUUCUUUUCUAUUUAUGAGAAUGCUGGCUAAGGCCCCAAGAAAUUACCGCUUCAGGUCUGUUAAAUAAAUUGUCAAUCAUUUUUUCAUGUUAAUAUUUAUUUCAUUUAAUUUUAGCCACUUUCUUUCUGCACAGGGGAUCAAAUACAGAGUUUUGUACAUGUUAACCCCUGAGUUUUAUCCCUAGGUCUUGUUUUAUUUAGAUAGGGUCAUAUUACAUAGCUCAGGUUGGCCUCAAACCUGAAGCUCCCCUACCUCUGUCCAUGAAAACUAGUAUUUAGGCAUGCACUAUCAUAACUGGCUAUAACAAGUUUUAAGCAUUUGUUAUAUAACAGAUAUUAAAUUAAUGGCUUUAUCACAUAUUGUCACAAUGACUUCAAGCAUGUUCCUGUGGCUGUAAAAAACUAGGUGUCAGGAACACAAAAUCAUUUAACUAAGGUGUCCAGCUAGUUAAUGACAGAGCUAGAAUUCAAGCCCAUUUUUUAAAGACUCAAUGUCUAGGUACAUAACCGGUAUGCUGACAAUACAGAGUGAAAGAAGUCAGUAGGGGAAAGGAACAAGGAUAUUAUCUCUGAGCCCUUUAAAAUCAGGGAGGCAGGAUGACAAACAAACGGUCCCAUUCAGCUGAUAGAAGAGUUAACACUGGCUUGGGCCACCAGAGUCUCCAGGAAAACACUCAGAAUCCUUGUUUUGGUUUGGGGCCUUAGGCCUAUUUUACUUAUUUGCUUCUUUUGGAGUUUUAUCUGGUCAUGCAAGCCUCUGCCAUUUGCCCGAGGCUUGGGGUAUAACUUAAUCAGCACAUUACUUCUCUUUCCAGGUGCAUAUCUUCCAGGAUGGUCUUGCUGCCCUGUGGAAUCUUCAGACCUGGCCUUCUGCAGUGUCACGCUCCGUGUAUUUGACAAGCUGAGUUAGACACUCUGUGUGGUAGAGUGUCAGUUUGUCAAAUACCCCAAGUGUGGCUCAUGCUUAUCAGCUCCAGGCCCAGGACAGAAGGAAUAGCCUGAUGACUAUAUACAAAAGUUUAUGAAACACCAAACUCUCUCAUUAUUCUAUGGCUUUGAGAGAGCUUGAAGAUUUAAUCAGGGGGUGUCAGAAUAAGAAUGAUGAAGCUCUGGGGCCUAUAAAUCUGGGAUAUAUAUAUCUACAUACCUUGUGAGAACUCCUUGGAAUGCCCAAUGAUAUUGAAAAUACAUAAGGGAUACUAGGAAGAAAGUAAAAUUUAAUUUAUUAUUAUGUCUAUUAAUAUCUUCUUUCACAUUCCUUUUCUUGCAGCCAGAACACCAGAAUUUUCAUAGAAGAACCAUGACUUGAAUGAGAAAGUAGGAUAUAGAAAUAAAUCCAUGGGGGCUUGAGAGGUGGCUCAGUGGUUAAGAGCACUGCCUUCUCUUCCAAAGGUCCUGAGUUCAAUUUCUAGAAACCAUAUGGUAGCUCACAACCAUGUGUAAUGAGAUCUGGUGUCCUGUUCUGGCCAGCAGGCAUAAUUUAUUAUGUGUAGAUAAUAAAUAAAUAAAUGUUCACAAAAAAGAAAGUAAAUCCACUUUCUUGCCUUUGGAGCACAUCUUGAUCUACAUUUUAUCUUUUUCUCACUCUUAAAGCAUUCUUCCUACUUCUCUUCACACACUCAGUUCCCUGUACUUUCACCCCCACAAGUUCCAAUCUCUCUGGGCAGUUUUGAAAGUCAGGCUAUACUUUUUCUUUACUUCUGGACUAGAUACAGGGAUGGACUCUUGUAUUUUCUACCACCCAACAUAUCCUCUUAAAUGGUCAAUGGAUUUUUCCACAGUAUAUUCUUGAAUUCCCCAUUACAUUGUAAGAGUCUAGAGUAUAUUAUAUUUACUUGAUUGCUCUCUUUCCUACCAUUGUCCAACAUUAUAAUUUAUUUAAUAAAUAUUUACCAA